AUGGGGGUGCUCCAGGAACCAUGACAAGCUGUACCAUGAGUCCUUGACGACACCCCCACCCUCCUGCGUAGCCACAAGGCUGGAUGCAGAAGCCGCCUCUUACUCGGCCGCAGACCCAUGGCACCAUCGUGGACACUGGCGCGCUAUAGAGAUGAAUCGAAGACGAGCUAGGAAGCCACUCGAGGUCUCGAUGAGGACGUGGUUGGCACCCUGCCACACAGCCGCACGAUGCAAUGAAAAGUGCACACUGAUGUGAAGCGGUGCCCGCAGAGCGCAGCUAAGGAGAGAGAGCAGCAUCCCGUUGAAACGUGCCUUUUACGUACGUGCACAUUCACGGCCGUACCUGCACAGGCACAUUCCUACAGGCAGGUGGAUUUUACUUCUGGAUGCUGACGUUACAGGCGAUUGAUGCCUCCCCUUGCUUACCUUUUGCUCUAAGUGUCCUGUAAUGAACACAAAUGACUCCCGUAAUAAGAAAAACAAUGAAGGGCAUUUUUAAAACAAACAAAUGGAUGUGUGAAAUCAGCAGGCUCAGUUCAAUUUGAAAUAAUAAGAGCUGUCACUCAGGAGUGAUUCCUACAUGCUUCCCAGCGGGCAAAGGGCUCCCAGCAGCUUUGCUUCGGCUCACAACUGCCUCAUGAGAAGGGUAUGGCUGAGCCAGGGUCGGAGCUCAAAGAGAGAGCCCAGCGGAGCUGAAGUGGCCAGCCCAAGGCCACACACAGCUGGUGACUAAUGUGGGGAGUCCCAUCAGCCCUGGCUGAUAAUGUCUCUUCUCUCGACUGCUUCCUGCUACUGCCUGGUGAAAAGGGGAUGCUUUUGUCACAGUCCAUUUGCCGAUUGGGCUGCUGUGACAACUACCACAGCCCGUGUGGCCAAUCAACAAUGGAACUGCAUUUCUCAUGGUGCCGAAGGCAAGAAGGCCACAAUCAAGGUGCAGCAAAUGCGGCCCUGGAGGCUGCCGGAGGCCAGCCCGGUCUGAGCUGCUGGUGUGCCGAUACUCUCGCAUCCCAGGGUGGCGCCGCCCCCAUAGCACAGGCACGAGUCCCGGCAUCUGGCAUAUGAGAAAGCUCAGUGAGAAUGCAGGGCCUUUUGAUGUGAUUUGAUGGCUCUUUCAGACUCCGAAAGUAAUGUAAAAGCAAGUAACAAGCCCUCUGAUGCAGCAACAACCGUGAAUAAUCGCCCACCCACCUGCUCGGCUGCACUGCCUGCUUUCCCUCUUCGAUUGGAGCUAACGAGCAGGGAGGCCCUUCACUGCAGUGCAGGAGAGCCUGCAGCUCUGCCUGCUGGGCUGGGCUGCGCGGGCAGCGGCCCCACCCCGGGGGAUUCUCUGUCACUGGUUCUCCAGGGACAGUGCCCACAGGGACAAGGGCCCCACUCCAGGGACCGAGGAAAUCUUCCGCGUACUGGGAGCCGGCUGACACAGUGAGGGCCCCUCAGGGCCGUCAGCGCACCAUCCCCCAGCCCACACUCGAUCAGGACACCUCGGUUCCGUGCCAGGACCCACUGGGGAGUAACAUCAGGGACAGACAGGCUCAAAUCCCUGCCCUCCUGGAGCUUAUAUUCUUGUCAUGGGGCCAGAAAACAAAUGACGCAGUCGAGAUUCUAUAGAAUAGCCAUAAAAAUGCAAGGAAGAACAAAGGCAGGUGUGGUGAGUUGAACAGUGCCCCCCCCCAAAGUUCACGCCCACCUGAGACCUCACCACGUGUGUGUUUUACACUUAGCGCAUCUCAGCCUGGACCGGCCACGGUUCAGGUGUCAGCUGCCCCGGCGGUUGGACGGCGGUUCUGGAGUGUUGUACGAGUGCUUUCAGUCUACUUUGUCACAGCCUUGAGGUUCCGAUUCAACUCGUGUAAUUUAUGGAAUAGAGCUGCCAGGCAGCCUAAUUAGCAAAGCGCAUCCCAAUUUCCAACCCUUCAGCCAGAUCCAACUUACUGUCUGACGGGAAAGUCUGAGUGCGGUUUAAAAUCCCCAUAGAUGUAUUAAUGCACAAGAACUGCUCAGCUUCUCGUUCCCGAAAUCGAAGUCCAGGAAGGAUGGACAAUUGGGUACGUGGAUGAGUCGACGGACGGGCGGAGGCAGAGAAGGUGAGUAGAGAGCAGAUAGGUAGAUGGGUGGGUGGAUGAUAGAUAGGCAGAUAGACGGGCAGAGAGACUCAAGACAAACAGACGACGCAGAGACAGCUGAGGAUGCGUGACGUCUGGACAAAACGAGGGGCCUCUGCUUUGAGUGUUUCUCAGCAAAGCUCCUUUGCCUUUCAGUCCCCGAACUCCUCCGGGAGUUCGAGGGCCCAGAGGCUGGGUCCAGGACGAAGGGAAAGGACGGCUUUCUUCCGUGACUCGGGAACGAAAGCACAGUGCGGUUCCUCCCUCCGGAUGCUCCGUCAGUCGGUGCGUGGGGUUUUCUCUCUGUACCUGGUACCUUGUAGACAAAGAUGGCCACUGUGUGUGCCCUGCAGGCAGAACCUCAGUGACAAGCGUAGGAAGAAGAGGACGGAGCAGAGUCACCUGGUCAAGGUUUUGCUCCUCUACCCGGGAACGAGGCCCCUCCUGGUUCCCCUGCCAGCAUCCGGUUGGUUAUAGCCAUGUGACUUAGACACUCCUAGCUUCUCGGGAAGCUGAGAAGUAAAACAGUGAACUUCCAGCCUCUGCAAGAGAAGGCAGGUGAGAAGGUGGCAGGGGUGCUGGCGUGUGUGAGCCCGUCUGCAGUGCCUGCCAGGCAUGCGUUCCGCAGGCAGGGCUGACGGACCCCUGGGAGCUCCCGGGGGAGAGAGGUACAAAGAGCCCGGAUACAAGACACCAAGGCACGGCUAGAGAUGGGGAGGGCAGAGCAAACAUGGGCCCAGAGGAGUGGCAAGCAGGGGCUGGGGUGGGACCAGGCAGAGCUCAGCCCUCUGAACAGGGCUGGUGGCGGUGUGAGCACCCCGCCAAGCCCCUCCAGCCCAAGGCAGCCCGGACCCAGGGGGCCAAGCCUGAAACAGGAAGGGCUCCCGAGGCAGGGACCACCGUGCAGCCUUGAGAGCAGUUCCAUUGUAUGUCUCGUUAGAAGUAGAAAACAGCCUUCAUGAAACAUUUUUUAAAAUACUGGAAGAAAACAAACACAGUAACGACAAUCCCUUUGUCUUCAGUGCUGAUAUUUUAGUGACUUUCCAUCCACUUUUUAUUUUUUCUGAUAAAACAGACUGUUUCCAGUGGUCAGAAGCUGGUGUGUCUGGGGUCCCAGGGGUGGAGGUUGCCCCAAGCCCACCUGGUUCCACAGUGUCGGGGCCCCGCCUCCCUUUUCUCUCUCAGCAUCGCCAAGCACUGUCUCACCUCCUUCUCAGAUGUGCGCUUUCCAAGGUGCGCCCUGUCCGUGCAUCUGCAACCCCAGAUGAAGAGACCUCAGUGGAAGGGUCUUUGCACAAAUCUCUCAUCGGCCUGCAUGGGACACACCCUUCAGGGUGAGCUACACAAGAUCAUUGACCAGUGAGACACUGUGGCUGUCCGUCUCUUUUCAAGAUUACAGUUCAACUGAAUAUAUAGUGACGUGUCUCGGGUGAAUGAAUGAGUCUCUGAGGGAGUUUGGUUCAUCUACCAUCUGACUUCACCCUCUGCAUCCACCCUGCGUGAACUCAAGACGGAGGAUGACAUUAUGUGCCUUUUACAGAUGGGAAACCUGAGCCCAGAGAACUGAAGUGACUAGACCCGGAGGUUUCUGAAUCCUGUGUCUGGGUUCAGCCAGUCUUCACCAAAAUUAAUUAACACAGGAGGAACUUGGAACAGAACUUGGCGUGGAACAGCAUCAGGUAAGAACACACAUCGGUCAUUGUUAAGUUCACUAUUCUUAUCUGGGGUAACAGCUGCCACUCACUUCUGAUCCACCGGGUUAGGCUGUGUGGCAUCUCUGUGAAGUCUCAUAGUUGCCAGGUGGACUUUAGGUGCCGUGAUGGGGGGAGGCGGUUCUCGUGCAGAAGGCUGGCGUCCCAGCCCCAGAGCUCACCUUGCCUGUUUAAUGCUCCCUUCAGAAGCCAACGAGCUUCACACUAAGCGAUCACGCACUCCUUUCGGCAAAGGUCUAGACACGUGGACACCCACUGAUAGAAUUCAAUCUUCAAGCCACCGAGAGUUUUUUUAAAAGGAAGCUUUAUUUUCUAAAACCAUAAGCAAGACAUGUUCAUUGCAGAAUUUUUGGAAGAUCCAUUAAAUUUGGAAAGGGAAAUAAAUAUCUUAUAGAACUGUGCCUCCCGGAGACGACCACUGUGACAUUUUAUUUGAUCUCCUUAAUGUUUAUCUUGUUUUUUCCUAUGCUAUGUCAAUGCUUUUUAAU